rnacentral:rRNA from 1 species
GAUGAACGCUAGCGGCAGGCUUAAUACAUGCAAGUCGAACGGGAUUCAGAGUAGCAAUACUUUGAUGAGAGUGGCGCACGGGUGCGUAACGCGUAUGCAACCUACCUUUAACAGGUGAAUAGCCCCGAGAAAUCGGGAUUAAUACACCGUAACAUUGCGAGAUGGCAUCAUUUUGCAAUUAGAGAUUUAUCGGUUAAAGAUGGGCAUGCGUGACAUUAGCUAGUUGGUGAGGUAACGGCUCACCAAGGCCACGAUGUCUAGGGGUCCUGAGAGGGUUAUCCCCCACACUGGUACUGAGACACGGACCAGACUCCUACGGGAGCAGCAGUAAGGAAUAUUGGUCAAUGGGCGCAAGCCUGAACCAGCCAUGCCGCGUGCAGGAAGACGGCCCUAUGGGUUGUAAACUGCUUUUGUCAGGGAAUAAACCUAUCUACGUGUAGAUAGCUGAAGGUACCUGAAGAAUAAGCAUCGGCUAACUCCGUG